rnacentral:tRNA from 1 species
GCCGAGAGCAGGUUGUUGGCGGCCGUGAUCGCAUGCAGAUCGCCGGUGAAGUGGAGGUUCAAAUCCUCCAUCGGCACCA